rnacentral:rRNA from 1 species
GGAUUGCCCCAGUAACGGCGAGUGAAGCGGCAACAGCUCAAAUUUGAAAUCUGGCUCUCGGGCCCGAGUUGUAAUUUGUAGAGGAUGCUUUUGGUGAGGUGCCUUCCGAGUUCCCUGGAACGGGACGCCAUAGAGGGUGAGAGCCCCGUCUGGUUGGACGCCGAACCUCUGUAAAGCUCCUUCGACGAGUCGAGUAGUUUGGGAAUGCUGCUCUAAAUGGGAGGUAUAUGUCUUCUAAAGCUAAAUACCGGCCAGAGACCGAUAGCGCACAAGUAGAGUGAUCGAAAGAUGAAAAGAACUUUGAAAAGAGAGUUAAACAGUACGUGAAAUUGUUGAAAGGGAAGCGCUUGUGACCAGACUUGGGCUUGGUUGAUCAUCCGGGGUUCUCCCCGGUGCACUCUUCCGGCCCAGGCCAGCAUCAGUUCGCCCUGGGGGACAAAGGCAUCGGGAACGUGGCUCUCUCCGGGGAGUGUUAU